CAGUGCUGCAUGGCUGUCGUCAGCUCGUGCUGUGAAGUGUUAGGUUAAGUCCUGUAACGAGCGCAACCCUCGUUGCCAGUUGUUUUCUCUGGCGAGACUGCCCCACGAAAUGGGGAGGAAGGUGGGGAUGACGUCAAGUCAGCAUGGCCCUUAUGUCUUGGGCUACACACACGCUACAAUGGGUGGUACAAUGGGUAGCAAUAGAGUGAUCUGGAGCCAAUCCACAAAACCAUCCUCAGUCCGGAUUGCAGGCUGAAACCCGCCUGCAUGAAGUUGGAGUUGCUAGUAACCGCAGGUCAGCACACUGCGGUGAAUACGUUCUCGGGCCUU
rnacentral:rRNA from 1 species